rnacentral:rRNA from 1 species
AACGAACGCUGGCGGCAGGCUUAACACAUGCAAGUCGAGCGCCCCGCAAGGGGAGCGGCAGACGGGUGAGUAACGCGUGGGAAUCUACCCAUCUCUACGGAAUAACGCAUGGAAACGUGUGCUAAUACCGUAUACGUCCUUCGGGAGAAAGAUUUAUCGGAGAUGGAUGAGCCCGCGUUGGAUUAGCUAGUUGGUGGGGUAAAGGCCUACCAAGGCAACGAUCCAUAGCUGGUCUGAGAGGAUGAUCAGCCACACUGGGACUGAGACACGGCCCAGACUCCUACGGGAGGCAGCAGUGGGGAGUAUUGGACAAUGGGCGCAAGCCCGAUCCAGCCAUGCCGCGUGAGUGAUGAAGGCCCUAGGGUUGUAAAGCUCUUUCACCGGUGAAGAUAAUGACGGUAACCGGAGAAGAAGCCCCGGCUAACUUCGUGCCAGCCGCCGCGGUAAUAC